ensembl:snoRNA
UGGCCCUGAUAUAAGUGGUGUGUCCUUGUCCUAGGUAAUCGGCUGGUGGUCCUGUCUCAUCUCAGCCAGAGUCAAAGCAACCCCCUAUUUAUGCCAGCUUGGCUUUUAGUCUGUGCCCAUGCCUGGUUCAUACCUUGGACACAUGG